rnacentral:lncRNA from 1 species
CUUGAAAGCAGCGCAGAGGAUUGAGGCGGCCGUCGCUAGGCAAAUGUCCAGGUGGGAGAUGCUGGGCCAGAAGCCAUGACCGUUCCAGCAUCGGCCGCGGUGCGGGAAGGGGAAGUGGGGACACCACUGGAGGAGGUGAAGCCGUCCAGCUCAAGGCCCUCGAGCCGGGAAGGGGCGAGGGAGCUGGGUGUGGAGACAAGGAUCCAGCAUCCAGGUGACCUCCAGGCCCGGCCAGGCUCUGGAGGACACUUGGGACAAGGGGAGGGCUUUGGAUCUGAGGCCGAGGGAUCUGACCAGGGGCGGAAGUUCUGCUCCGGCCCGCAGACUGUGCCCAAGCAAGCCCGCUGCCAACGCCCCUGCUCCUCUGCGACCCUCGGACCGAUAGUCUCUUUUCCCGCAGCGCGGGCUUUCGAGUUCCGGGUCCUCCGGCGUGCUGGGCUCGUGCCCGUUCUCGGGAGCCAGCGUCUGGGCACCACGCAGCGAUGUCCGGAUGCAGCGCCCUUGCCGCGGGCCUUACCCCGCCAGGCGCCGGAGUCCACGCUCCACCGCCGCUGAGGGGCGUUCGGGCGCCACCGAGCAGCCCAAAUUGAAACCCCGAGAGGCUCGGGACUAAAGCUGAAGGGGCAGGUAGAGGGGCCGCCCGGCGGUCCCAGACCAUCCUAGCAAAUCUGGGGCGAGGGAAGGGUUGUCAGUUGGCCGAUUGGGAGCGGCUUCGGGAGCGAAGGAGCUGCUUUUCGGCGAGGCCCCUCGGGAGUGAAGGUUCCUCGAAUCAAGCGUAAACUGGGGCCCCCUCUGGGAUGGUGUAAACUUAUUCAGCUUCAAAUGCAGCCCAGUAUCCUGCCCUAAGUUCCAGAGGACCAUUUUCCACAUGAAAAGUCUUACGGAUAGACAAACUUCCAUUCAAGCCAAUGUCAAGUUUUCAUUGCAAGAAAGUAGCAGCCGUGUUUAAGGGCUUGUUUCUGGCUAUGUUAAAGGACCAUCCUCUGAGGAAAGCAGAGGAGAGGAACUCCAUUAUCCUUACAGUGAAACGCAACCACUGCAGAAAAACUCCACUGAGUUCGCUCCAAAUGCUCAUCUUCUUCUUCGGCCCUGGAUGUCAGACAAACAGGACAAACAGGAAACAAAAUUAUUUUUCUUCGUGGAGGGCAGAGCAGCACUCCCCCGUCGCCCAGUAUUUGGAUCCCCAGCGGGAAUGGGGAGCACCAGGCCAGUGGGAGGCUGCCCCGGCCCUCCCGCGACCUCUGGAUUGAACUUUCCGCACACUUCUCGGCCCCUCGGCAGGUGGCCCAGCCUCGACCCGACCCCACUGCCCACUCACUGCUUCUCCUGCGCGUCCAGGUCCCUGACGAGCGCAUCGCGCUUGUUCACCAGGGCCACCAGCUCAUCUAGCAGAAGCUGUUCGCGUCGCUUCUGGGCCUCGGUCUUCUGCCAGUCUGCAGAAGACGGGAGGCUAGUUACCCACCGGCAGGGCCUCCGAACACCCGGCCCCCCGCCCUCCCCUUCCCGCCUUUUCCAGUUUCCUUAUAUUUCUCAGCAAACCACAUUAUAGAGCCACUAGCUAGUGUUUUCUGGGGAGUUUGGCUGUUGUGGUGAAGGCUUCCUCGCUAAAAGUCUACUUCCUAAACAGGUCCUGUGAAUGGAGAUGGCUGCAGCAGUGUUGGAACCUGCUUAGAACCAGGUGUGAACUGGUGGCUAGCCUGAGGUGCGCACCUGAAUCCAGCCAAAGUGGGGGAGGGGAGCUAGAGGCCCAGAAGAGGUUGGCCCAGGGGUUGGUAGUGGGGGAAGUGGGUAAAUGAGGAGGCGGGAAACAGUGAUGGGCGAUAAAAUCAUUCUGAAAAGGCUAGAGAAUCUGCCUGAGAACCUAUCCUCCUCCCCCACCCCCACUCUCACCCCAAACAGCCCAUUCUUCGCUAAUUUCCUCUUCGCUCUAUUUUAGCAGUUGGAUGUAUCUCACACUGGGCGCCAUAUGCUUCACAAUAACUUUAAAAGUAGUGAAUCGGCUAAUUAGCAUUUUUCUUUGAAGUAAAAAAUAAAUUUGCUCUGCAAUAUUACACUGCAGCUCUCGAUCGCAUCACAGCCAGUUUUCUUUUGGAGACGUUUGCUGGGUGGUUUCAAAUCAAAGCACUUUUGCAAAGGAAAAAUUACAUAUUUCUUUCUGAAACCCUAUGUUAAAGGUUGGAAAACCCGAUGGGCAGUGCUCUUUCCAUGGAUGGGGGGCGUUUUUUUUUUUUUUUUUUGAAGGUUUUAGACCCCAAUAAUAUAUUUCCUAAUCUUUGCUGGUCUGAUGAUUUCCUUAAGAUGAGCAGCAGUUUCAUUUAAUAGAAACAGGACCAAAUCGAACAUUUAAAACACUUUUGAAACCAAAGCCAACUGCUCUCUGGCCAGACUGUAAGGGCUUGUAGCUGUCAAUCAACCCCCAGUCUACCCCGCCUCCCUCAUUAGGAAGGUAAACAAUGAAAAGAAGAAGUAGAUGAUGAGGCAGAUAGCAGAACAAAUGAGGACCUAGAGGGAAACAGGACACCAGCUUAAAAAAAAAAAAAAAAAAAAAAAAAAAAAAAAAAAAAAAAAAAAAAAAAA